ACCUACCUUUAUCUGGAGGAUAGCCUUUCGAAAGGAAGAUUAAUACUCCAUAAUAUAUUGAAUGGCAUCAUUUAAUAUUGAAAACUCCGGUGGAUAGAGAUGGGCACGCGCAAGAUUAGAUAGUUGGUGAGGUAACGGCUCACCAAGUCAUUGAUCUUUAGGGGUCCUGAGAGGGAGAUCCCCCACACUGGUACUGAGACACGGACCAGACUCCUACGGGAGGCAGCAGUGAGGAAUAUUGGACAAUGGGUGAAAGCCUGAUCCAGCCAUCCCGCGUGAAGGAUGACGGUCCUACGGAUUGUAAACUUCUUUUGUAUAGGGAUAAACCCAGAUACGUGUAUCUGGCUGAAGGUACUAUACGAAUAAGCACCGGCUAACUCCGUGCCAGCAGCCGCGGUAAUACGGAGGGUGCAAGCGUUAUCCGGAUUUAUUGGGUUUAAAGGGUCCGCAGGCGGGCCGAUAAGUCAGUGGUGAAAUCUCAUAGCUUAACUAUGAAACUGCCAUUGAUACUGUCGGUCUUGAGUAAAUUAGAGGUAGCUGGAAUAAGUAGUGUAGCGGUGAAAUGCAUAGAUAUUACUUAGAACACCAAUUGCGAAGGCAGGUUACCAUGAUUUAACUGACGCUGAGGGACGAAAGCGUGGGGAGCGAACAGGAUUAGAUACCCUGGUAGUCCACGCCGUAAACGAUGCUAACUCGUUUUUGGGGCGCAAGCUUCAGAGACCAAGCGAAAGUGAUAAGUUAGCCACCUGGGGAGUACGUUCGCAAGAAUGAAACUCAAAGGAAUUGACGGGGGCCCGCACAAGCGGUGGAUUAUGUGGUUUAAUUCGAUGAUACGCGAGGAACCUUACCAAGACUUAAAUGGGAAAUGACAGGUUUAGAAAUAGAUCCUUCUUCGGACAUUUUUCAAGGUGCUGCAUGGUUGUCGUCAGCUCGUGCCGUGAGGUGUUAGGUUAAGUCCUGCAACGAGCGCAACCCCUGUCACUAGUUGCUAACAUUCAGUUGAGGACUCUAGUGAGACUGCCUACGCAAGUAGAGAGGAAGGUGGGGACGACGUCAAAUCAUCACGGCCCUUACGUCUUGGGCCACACACGUAAUACAAUGGCCGGUACAGAGGGCAGCUACACAGCGAUGUGAUGCAAAUCUCGAAAGCCGGUCUCAGUUCGGAUUGGAGUCUGCAACUCGACUCUAUGAAGCUGGAAUCGCUAGUAAUCGCGCAUCAGCCAUGGCGCGGUGAAUACGUUCCCGGGCCUUGUACACAC
rnacentral:rRNA from 2 species